GCUCAAUUUUGAAAUCUCGCGGGUUUCCCGUGCGAAUUGUAGUUUAUGAAGCGUUUUCGGGGACUCCCUGGGUGUAAGUCCUUUGGAAUGAGGCGUCAGAGAGGGUGAGAAUCCCGUCCUUAACCCGGUGUGGGUCCCUAUGUGAUGCGUCUUCUAAGAGUCGGAUAGCUUGGGAAUGCUGUCCAAAAUGGGUGGUAAAUACCAUCUAAAGCUAAAUAUUGGCGAGAGACCGAUAGCGAACAAGUACCGUGAGGGAAAGAUGAAAAGAACUUUGAAAAGAGAGUUAAACAGUACGUGAAAUUGUCUAAAGGGAAACGCUUGAAACCAGUGUUGUGCGGUGUAGAUCAGCCGUCCAUCAGGGCGGUGCACUCUACAUUGUGCGAGUCAGCAUCGGUUUGGCCUGGGGCAAAAAGCGGGAGGGAGGUUUUCGGAUCUGCUUGCCUGUCAUACCCUGGACUAGACCGAGGAACGCAGCCAUGUCAUUGGGGAACCGACAUGCCUCUUCUUUCGCAUAGGCAGACAACUUGUUGACUGUCAUUGUUGAACGUUGCGCCAUUCGGCUACCACACCUUGGCUUAGGAUGCUGACGAAAUGGUUUUAAACGACCCGUCUUGAAACACGGACCAAGGAGUCCAACACAUAUGCGAGUCUUUGGGUGGCAAACCCAUGGGCGCAGUGAAAGCGAAAAGAUACGUUCAGUAUCGACCGGUCUGGAUUUUUUAUGAUGGAUCUGAGUAAGAGCAUAUGUGCUGGGACCCGAAAGAUGGUGAACUAUGCCUGGAUAGGGUGAAGCCAGAGG
rnacentral:rRNA from 1 species